AACGAACGCUGGCGGCAUGCCUAACACAUGCAAGUCGAACGAGACCUUCGGGUCUAGUGGCGCACGGGUGCGUAACGCGUGGGAACCUGCCCUUAGGUUCGGAAUAACUCCCCGAAAGGGGUGCUGAUACCGGAUAAUGUCUUCGGACCAAAGAUCUAUCGCCUUUGGAUGGGCCCGCGUUGGAUUAGCUAGUUGGUAGGGUAAAAGCCUACCAAGGCGACGAUCCAUAGCUGGUCUGAGAGGAUGAUCAGCCACACUGGGACUGAGACACGGCCCAGACUCCUACGGGAGGCAGCAGUGGGGAAUAUUGGACAAUGGGCGAAAGCCUGAUCCAGCAAUGCCGCGUGAGUGAUGAAGGCCUUAGGGUUGUAAAGCUCUUUUACCCGGGAUGAUAAUGACAGUACCGGGAGAAUAAGCGCCGGCUAACUCCGUG
rnacentral:rRNA from 1 species